GGGGGCGACUGGAUUCGACAGGUUAGUGUAGGUAAAAGGAGCAUGUCGGGGCCCAUAUCCCCGUUAUCAAUGUGGGCAAACAUAAAAGCGAACGAUUACGCUUUAGCUGCAUAAUAGCAGCACCUCUCUGGUUUUCCUGCCUGCGGGAAAUCAGCGGGGACCAACAGCAGGCUGCGUAACGCUGUCUUCUCCUUGCAGCGUUAUUAAGUUUAAUGGAGAGUAGUGCUUUGUGAUCCUGUCCGGAGGAGUGCAAAGCGCGAAAUUAAAAUCCGGAAUAAACAUGUAGCGCCUUUACUAAAGCUGGUCUGGACGUGGGUUCAAUUCCCACCGCCUCCACCA
rnacentral:tmRNA from 1 species